AGCUUUAUAGUUAAAAAAUAAUAUAAAAUUGCAAAUUUUAAGUUGAUAAAAAAARAUUCUAAGGCUU
rnacentral:tRNA from 1 species